UAUUUUGGGUAAUCGCUAUUUUUAAAUAGAGGAAAGUCCAUGCUCACACAGUCUGAGAUGAUUGUAGUGUUCGUGCUUGAUGAAACAAUAAAUCAAGGCAUUAAUUUGACGGCAAUGAAAUAUCCUAAGUCUUCGAUAUGGAUAGAGUAAUUUGAAAGUGCCACAGUGACGUAGCUUUUAUAGAAAUAUAAAAGGUGGAACGCGGUAAACCCCUCGAGUGAGCAAUCCAAAUUUGGUAGGAGCACUUGUUUAACGGAAUUCAACGUAUAAACGAGACACACUUCUCGAAAUGAAGUGGUGUAGACAGAUGGUUAUCACCUGAGUACCAGUGUGACUAGUGCACGUGAUGAGUACGAUGGAACAGAACAUGGCUUAUAGAA
rnacentral:RNase_P_RNA from 1 species